rnacentral:lncRNA from 1 species
GAGUGAGCCUCAGGAACCACCCCAGAUUUUAGGAGUUAGGAGUGGGUCUAGCUGUGCUGAUGGCCACCUGGGGCUCUGGUGAACUCUAGCCUCCUCCCAUCCGCCCAUCGAGGGCAUCGUCAGGCCUCUGUGCUGAGCCAUUUGCCUCCUGCUCUGCCCCAAACCUGUUCAGCCCCCAACAUUCUCACUUUCCUGUCCCCUUCAUGCUUCUUAGGUCAUUUCUCUCUGCUUCUGCAAACCUCCCUGCCAAAUGUUCCCCCACCCCAAACCGACCCUUUUCAUCUCUAUGUCCCCCCGUGUACACCUCUCUCAAAAUGCAGGGCCACGGGGCCCUCCUUCUUAGGGACUAGGCCAUGCCUAGGGGUAGGGCUGCUGUAUAGAGAUUAGCCGGUCAUGGUGGCAUGUGCCUGUAAUCUCAGCUACUUGGGAGGGAAACCCUGUCUCUACUAAAAAUACACAAAUUAGCCGGACAUGGGUUAAAAGAUGAGCUGGGCCAAUCCGAUUUCCUCUCCUGGGAAUUUGAACUAUGAAAUACUGAGAGACUAGAGCAGUUAGCAGAGGUGAUGUAGAGAGAGACUCAGAGAGGCCGGCUGGUCAAAUGCAAGUCACGGUUAUGAGAAAUUAUGAGGAAACCCAGGAAGCUCUCGGUGCUGCACGGGGGUCAGAAGCAGUUAUGAGCUGGAGCUUGGGAGGCUGACCUGAGUGAGAAUCCUUACUCUGCCACUUCCUGGCUUGAACCUGGAGCAGCUUACCUAACCUCCUUGAGCCUCGGUGUUCUCAUAUGUAAAAUGGGGGUAAUGAUAUUAACUAACUGCACGGUGUUCUAAAGAGGAUUAAUGGAGAUAAGCAUGGAAAUCAAUAGAUCUGGCUCAGAAUUUGUUAACAAUUAUUCUUCCUCCACUUAUUAUGAUAAUAAUUAUUAAUUUCAUUAAUAAUAAUGAAGAAAGAGAUAAAGAAGAAAGAGACCCUGUGGGGUUCCCUUCCACCUGACCAGGAGAGAGAAGUUGGUCCCCAGAGCUUCUUUGGUCCCUGCGUGCUUUCUGGGCCCAGUUCCAAUGACAAGCCGUGUUUUUCAAUACAAAAGGCCUUCCUUUUUCUUGUGAUUACUCAAGUGAACCUCUGUUUCUUGCAAACAGAAGGACCCCUGCCCAGACCCCUGUCUUCCUCUCAUGUCUGGACUUGAGCUUCUCGAAGUCCAGCACAAUAGUCUGUCUACCUCAGUAUCCUGCCUGGGCGUUGAAGACAGCUGAUGCCCAAUGCUUGGUAAAUAAAAGAAUGAAUGAAUGAAUAAGGUUCCAAAGCCUUUGUGGGGAGCCUACAGAAAUGCUGUUUUUAGGAGACUCAGAAGUCCAUUGGGUAGACGGUUAGGGGAGAGUUCGUUGACAGCCCUGUCCCUCAACGCAGGACAGAAGGCAGGCCAGGACUGGAGCACUCUGGACCACUUGCCUACACCCUGCUAGGACUUUCCUUCCCUGUGGCACCAGGAUAAGGGGCAGAAGGUGACAGAAGGGCCAACUGGGGGAAGACACCUGCUGGGUCAGGUUGCCAGCCUGCUGAAACAGGGUUAGGCCUGCCCCCUCCCCUGCCCAGCCUCAUCCCCUCCACUCCUUCUCCCAAAUCCCAGACCCCAGUUCCACUCACAUCUUUUCAGACACUUCCCUUCACCAUGUUUUCUUACCAUGUCUUUGCUCAUGCCAUCCCUUCCCUUUCCGAUGCCCUUCGCCCUCACCUCCCAUGAAAACUCCUACCUGUCUUUUAAAACCCAGCUCAGAACCAGCCCCCUACUGGAAUCUUCCUUGGAUCUCUCAGGCAGUUAAAUGCUCUUCUUCUGUGCUUCCGCAGUCUUUUUGGAGAUUUUAUGGGCCCCAGUUCAUUGCUCCAAUUACCCGUGUACUUGUCUGUCUUCCCCCAAAAAGGUCUCAAGGACAGGAAUUGUGUCUUAUUCAUCAUUGUGUCCUCAGUGCUUAAUAAAAGUCUUAGCUCACAGUAGGCUUUCACUAAGUGUUUGUUGACUGUACAAAUAUAAUAAUAGAUUAAUCCACAGUUUCUCUCAGCUCUGGGAUCCCUGGCUCCUGCUGUUUUCUCUUCUUCUUAGGCUGUCUUGGGCAUUUCUUGAAGCCUUUCACAGUCCUGUGACUAUUUCUCAAUGGCAUCACUACCCACCCCCAGUCCUGAGCAAUGUCUGCUGUCCAUAACACAGGACACUACAGGGCUAUAGAUCC